rnacentral:tmRNA from 1 species
GGGGUCGUAUUGGUUUUGACAGCAUAGGCAACGGUUGGUGUAAGCAUGCAGUGCGUUGGGUUAUUAGCACUUUAAUCUGAAGACUCAAACUUCAAAUGGCAAUACUCAGUAUGCCAUGGCUGCUUAAUCAGUGAUUAAGUAACCAUUAGGGCCGCCGCACAGGUUCGCUUCUUUCCACGUGCCGCCGCCGACUCAAAACAAAAGAAGCUGCUGCAACCGAAGGCUGUGACGGUUGCCUAAGACCAUACAGCUAAGCGUUCGGUUGGUCUGUUCAUGUCCUGCCGGAUGCCGACAACCAAUCAUGAAAUAAGCAUGUAGAAAGCCAAUGGUAGCGAUGUUUGGACAGGGGUUCGACUCCCCUCGACUCCACUC